rnacentral:tRNA from 1 species
GGGAAUGGCUGUGGCUCAGUGACAGAGCACCUGCUCUGCAUGCCGAAGGUUCCAGGUUCAAUUCCAGGUAUUUCUA